UUGCUCCAUUGUGGAGCGACCUUUUGUUUUAUUGGGUGUGCUCGUGUGUGUGUGAGUGUGGCCGACCAAAACAGAGAGGGAGAGACAGGGAGGAGUUCAUGCUCCUCUUGCCAUUCUUUCCCACGUUUGCAGGUCCUCCACUCCGACCGGUCAUUGGCGGAUUCCGGCGACCGUGGACGAGCUGUUUCCGCUGCCCACCGGAAGAAGUAUGCCUAAAUCCCAACUAAGAAAUUUUUGUGGCAUUUUCGGAUUUUAAGCUAGAUUAGUGUUUUUGAUCUUGUUUAGAUCAUGUUUAGAUCGUUUUAAAUCUAGCAUCUCACCACCUCAUCUCUCUCUCUCCAUUUUCCUUCUCCUACCGCCGGAGCUCACGCCCGCCGUCGAUCCUCGCCGCCGUCAUAUCCUGCUCAUCGCGCGAGUCUAUCUCAUUUCUCCGCGACUAGAUAUGACUUCGCCGAUCCGAGACCUCGCCGGAUCUUCGAGUUUGCCCGCAUCGCCGUGGAGUUGUCGUGCCUUUACGGAUUGCCGACCUCGAGCGCCAGAUUCAGGCCAUGGGAGGCUUUGAGGCCGUGGCGGGCGUCGCGGCUCAAAUCCAGGCUUUAAGGGCUAGAGCCUGAUCGCCGAGAGCGGGUCGAGAACGAGUCAGAUCUUUUUGGAGGAGAAGAAGAGCGCGGAAGAAUAUGAGGAGAGAGAGAAGGAAGUAGUGGUGGUGGAGAAGGCGGUUAGGUUUUCGGAUGGAGAGGCGGCGAAGACGACCGGGAAGAAGACGAGGAGUGCUCUGAGGAUGGAUCGGAAGGAGAAGAAGUUCGAGCUCUGCAGAUCUAAGUUUGCUUAAAGUGGGUGGGAGAAUGGUGUACUCAACAUGCUUUAUGAAUCCAAUUGAGAAUGAAGCUGUGUUUGCUGAGCCUGGUAGACUAUAGGCUUAUGGCCGACUGACUGCCGAAAAAGCCACUAGAAACCCCGAUAGGUGGCCGCCGGAUAGCCACGGGACUGUUGUUGGAAAAGCCGUCGGAGGGUCCUCGGAAAAGUCACUGGACGGUUGGUGGAAAGUCACCUCAAAAGUCGUCGGAUGGUCGCCGGAAAUAUACCGGAGUGUCGCCGGAAGUUCGCCUAAGUGUCGCCAGAAAAGGCGCCUGACGGCCACCGGAGCCGCUGGUUGGAGGCAUCGACAUUUUGUAAACUAUCAAUUUACUUUGAGAGUAGUUUGGUAAUAUAUAUUAUGUAUUUGACUAAUGAUUGACUAGAAAUAAUGUUUAAUGGUUAAUAAUAAUUUAUU